rnacentral:lncRNA from 1 species
CUGGCUGCUCCCCAUCGGGGUCCUCCAAAGAUGGUGUUGACGAUCUCGGUUGGAGGUCGAUCUUCAGUCUGUUCCUCCCUCCUUGGCGGCUCUGGCCGUGGUAGGACCCUCGGCCAAUCCUCCCUACCCUCAGGUCGGCAUCGGAUGAAUCUAUCGAGCCGACCUCGUCUGAUGAGCUCCUCAUCUGUUGGUUCGCUUCUUGGGAUCGUUGAUCCAGGAGGCCCUCUCGACGGUGAGUCUCGAGGGUCUUCUGGAAGAACGGAGGUAGAGACCC